AGGAAUUUGCAGCCUUCCUCUUCCUGGUACGGAAAAUAACAGAAACCAGGGUACAGCUCUGUGUAAAAAGACUAGGCCAGUGGUGAGGGUGCUGCUUCCACUUCCUCCUGGACUCUUAUGAGGACUCAGCUCAUUUUCUGGUAUUAAUGUGCAUGUUGAAAACAAGCUGGGAGAAUCUGUAGCUUCAGGUUGCUGACUAUUUGAACAACCCAGGCAAGAGGUUCAGUCUUUGAAGUCAUUUUCCCUUUGGGAGCUUGACAGCCACCUGCCAGCCACAUUUGCGCCCUUCACCACAUUGUGAUCUCUGAAUGAACUCUUCCUACUGAUGCCUAGCAGCCUCUAUUCCAGAUCAAUUCUGUGGUAGGCAAAAUAGUGGCCUCUCGAAUAUCCACAUCCCCAGAACCUGCGAAAGAGUUAAGUUACAUGGGGAGGGGAAUUCUGGUAGCAAAUGGAAGUAAUGUUGCUAAUUAUUAGUUUAACUUAAAGGAGGGAGAAUGCCUGGGUAUCCAGGUGGGCCCAAUGUCAUCACUGGCAUCCUUAAACAGGGAAGAGGGAUGGAGGAGAGUCAGUACCAGAGUGAUGUGGUGAGAGAAAGACUUGGCUGGCCCUUGCUGGUUUGAAGCUAAAAGGAGGCUGUAAGUUGAACAAUGUGGGCAAUCUCUAGAAACUGGUAAAGGCAUGAGAAUGAAUUUUCUCCUUUAGCCUCCAGGAAAAGAAUGGAGCCCUGUCAUCACCUUGAUUUUUAGCUUAGUGAGACCCAAUGUUGGACUUCUGAAUUCCAGAAAGUUGCAAACUAUUUGUUGAAAAGACUUUGUUUUCCCCAUUAAACUGCACCAGCAUCAUUCAACCAUGUAAGUAUUACUGCAUGUUCUGUUUGCUUCCAUUGAUCUAUGUGUCUGUAUUCCAAUACCAGAGUGGCUGUUGUUGUCACUUAAUAGUAAUUCUUCAAAUAGUCUAAUGUCUCCAAAUCUCUUUCCUUUUUUGAGAAUUGCUUUGUCUGUCCUAGGUCUUUUUUUAUACAUUUUAUAGUCAGAUUGUCAAUGUCUAUAAUAUGAUUUUUUUAUUGGAUUGGCUUCAAUCUAUAGAUUUAGAGAGAAUGGGAUUCUUUAAAAUGUUGAGUUUUCAAUUCAUGAACAUAGCAUGUUUAUUUAGGUUGUCUUUAGAUUUUUUCUUAACAAAUGUUUGUAAUUUUUAGUAUAGAAGACUAAAAUAUGCCUUUAAGUAUUUUUUUUUUGAUGCUACUAAAUUGUACAGUUUAUUUUCCAAUUAUUUGUUACCAUUGAAAUCCAGCUGAUUUCUGUAUGCUGAUCUUCCUAAGUAUUUUUCUAAGUAUUUUUUUUUGAUGCUACUAAAUUGUAUGGUUUAUUUUCCAAUUAUUUGUUACCAUUGAAAUCCAGUUGGUUUCUGUAUGCUGAUCUUGAUUCUAGGAUUUUUCUUAUUCAUUAGUCAUUGUAUCUUUUUAGGUUUCAUACGAUUUUCUACAUACAUAAUCAUGCAACCAUGUCUUCUAUGCAUAAAGACAAAUUUAUUAUUUCUGUUCCAGUCUUUACACCAUUUAUUUUUCCUUACAUAUUGCAUUUGAUAGAAGCUUUAAUACAGUGUUGGACAGAGGGUAAUAGUGAAUACACUCACCUUGUUUUUGAUGUUAGGGAAAAAGUGCUGUGUGUAUCAAUUUUAACUAUCAUGUUAAAGGACAGUUUUUCACAGAUGUCAUUUAUAAUUGAAGUGUUUUUCUAUGCUUUAAGAAUUUGUCAUGAAUGAGUGUUAAAUGUCAUCAAAUGCUUUUUCCUGCUUUAAUUAAAGUAAUUAUGAUUUUUAUUCUGUGAAAAGUGAUUUUAAAAAAUCUUGUCACAACCUUAUAAUCCUGGGAUAAACUCCAUUUGAUUCAUUCUUUUUAUGUUGUGCUAGAUUCCAUUUGCUAAUAUUUGGUUGAGGAUUUUUAUAAGUAGGUUCACAAGAAAUAUUGGUCUGUAAUUUUAUUUUAAUGUCCUUGUUUAUGCUCGUUUUAUGGUUAUGCUGGCCUCAUGAAUAGACCUAGAAAAUAUUGCCACACCGUAUUUUCCCAAAAUAAUUCAUGUAAAAUAUUAAUCAUCAUUAAUAUAGAAUUUACCAGUGAAGCUAUCUGGACCUGAUGUGUUCUUUGUGGGAAAAUAUUUACCUAUGAAUUAUGUUUCUUUAAUGAACAGGGAAGCAUUCAUGGUUUCUAUUAUCAGUUUUAGAAAGCUUUUUUUUUCCCCUGGUUUUUUUUUUUGUCCAUUUCAUUUAACUUGUUGAAUUUAUUACUGCAAAGUUGUACAUAAUAUUCCUUUAUAGUUGAGAAUGAUGUGCUUACAUGCUGUUUCUUAAUCGAUUUAGAAUUUAUUGAAAUUCUUGAAUCUUUGUGGUACUUUUUUCCAUCUAGAUUUGGGGAAUUUUCAGUUUUUGUUUACUUAAUGUUUUUGUCUGAUGCAUUCUUGACAUGAUUUUUUCCCCUGAUACUCUGCACUUAGAUUUGAUGCACAAUAUAAGUCAAUGAGAUUUUGUUGAUAUCUUUCAUAAACAUUUUUCUCUCCCUUCCUCAGCUUGGAUAAUGUUAUUGACCCUUUCUUAUGUAGUGCCUAAUCAAUUGUCAGUCUAUCCAGGGUUCUUUCACUUAAUACCAGAUAUUUUAUUUUUAGUUCUAGAAUGUCUAUUUAUUUUACAGUUUCUAUUUCCUUGCUGAAAUUUGUCCAUCUUUACUUUUAAAUUCCUCAAUGUGUUUUUAACAAAUGUUUUAAAACCCUAUCUGCUGUCUCUUAUAUCUGUUUUUUUUUUGGGGGGGGGAAUCUUUUUCCACUGAAUGAUUUUUUUUUCCUCUUGCCUAUAGGAAAUGUUUUCUUACUUUUUCUAAUAACUUUAUUUUAUAUGUUAAACUUUAUGGAGUGUUUCAUGUGUGUUGUCUUUAUUUUAGUCCUGUUUUGUUUUAUCUGACAGUUAAUUGGUAGCUUAUUUUGAGCAUUUCAGAUUUGGUUUCGUGUUUUGUAGGGUGGGUUGGUUUCAGGACUUUUUCUUUAUUUUCCAGUUAGAUCUAGGGUCUUUCCUCUAGGUCAUGGUCUUUCCAGGAUCUUAACUGGAUGCCUAAAUUGCUCAAUGAGGUCUCUCUACUCUAGCUGACCCAAAUUCUGACUUCUGUUUGUCCUAUGAAAACUCUAGUAUCUCUGUACUGCCUUUGAAUCCCUCCAAGUUGCUCUCUGCUAGGCUCGUGGAUUCACUGUCCUGUUCACGAGCACCUUAGCCUUCAGCCAAGGACACAAGGUGAACCUUUAUGCAGGCUUCCAGGAUGCCCUCCCUAUGCAGCUUCUUGACUUUCCAUACUCUGUUUCCCCUCCAGUUCUAGCUGCCUCAGCAACCUCACACCCUAACCUCUACCUACUUCCCUCAGAUUUCUGCUCUCUACUGGACUCUCCUCCCUACUGCAAAAUUGUAGGAAGUGUCUCAUGUAGAGAUUUGUGGAUAAUAAAUUUAUCUCAUUAGUUUUUCUUUUCUCGAGAAUGAUAAGACUGCUCUGUUUGCAAUGACUGAAAGUCAUUCUCAUAUUUUGUCCAGUGUUUAUAGGUAUUUACAUAGGAGGGUAAGUUCAAAACAAUUUACUUACAGUUCCUGGAAGCCAACAUUCUCUAGCACACUUUUUGAGUACCUAAUGUGUGUAAAACCAUAUGCUCAUUAUGGGACAGAAAGAAAUAAAAAACAAGUUCUCUUCCAUCUGAGAGAGAUAAAAAGGUUGCAUGUAUAACUAAAGUAUGAGACCAGUGACUUUAUUUCAGUUCCUAGAAUGCACCAAGACAUUUCCCACCUAAGACCUCGCAAGUGUAAGUCGCUCUGUCUUAAAUAUAUCCUUCAACUCCUGGCCUGAAUAACUUUUAUUCACCCAUCAGAACUCAGCUAAAAUAUCACUUACUUGGGAAGUCUUCUCUGAACUCCCCCUCUAUAUUAUUCUCUAUAGCAUUAUUCUUUAUCAUGGCAUCCUGUCGUUUUCCAACACAACUCUUACCACAAUUUCUCCUUAAACAUGUCUGUGAGUAUUUAACUAUAUAUUUCUAAGUGUAAGACUAAGUACUUUUUAUACACUGCUACAUCUUUAUUCUUAACAGUACUGAAAAAAAGUAGUGUAAGAUAUUUCUUGAAUGAAAAAUUAAGGAAUGAUGAGUGUCACAGUCAGCACAGAAAAUAUUUAUAUGCUAUAUGACAUUCAUUUCCUAUUGGAUUGAUCAGAGAAGAUCUUAAGAAGAGGUGGAAUUUUAAGAGUCAGAGAUGGGAAAAGGGGCUUUCUAGAGAAUAAAUUGGCAUAAGCUUAGAAUGUGCAAGUCAUAUUUCAGAAGGGAGUGACUAGACCCAUUUUUUUCCCGGGGAUUCAUUAGGAUAGACUGAUUAGAAAGGCAAAAAGAAAUCAGACUUGGAAGGCAAAUCGAGUUUAGAGUCCUUAUCUCACCAGCUUUAUAAUAAUAAUCAGUUUGUAAAACAUAAACCUCUAAAUAUUACCAAGGGUAUAUAAUAUUUCUUUUAAAGAUAAAUUACAUCUUUAAAAAGCUACAUAUUACAUCUUUGAAAAGCUGCAUAUUACAUAGGAGUUCCUUCCCAUCAAUAACUUCCUAAGAAGACACUGGCUGAAAAGAAAACGAUUCUGGGAGUUCCUAUCAUGGCUCAGUGGUAACAAAUCUGACUAGUAUUCAUGAGGAUGUGGGUUCAAUCCCUGGCCUCACUCAGUGGGUUAAGGACCCGGCAUUGCUCUGAGCUGUGGUGUAGAUUGUAGAUGUGGCUCAGAUCCCACAUUGCUGUGGCUGUGGUGUAGGCCGGCAGCUACAGCUUAUGUUCUACUGCUAGCCUGGGAAUUUCCAUAUGCCAUGGGUGUGGCCCUAAAGGAAAAAAAAAA
rnacentral:lncRNA from 1 species